rnacentral:lncRNA from 1 species
UCGUACGGAUAAGAAGGGUGGGCCGAUGAGCACCACGAUCAGAAAGAUUUUCAUAAGUAAUAAUGGUGUGUUAUAAUUUCAUAUAAUUCACUCAUUUUGCUUUGACAAUGUGCGUGUUAUAAUUUCUAAGAUUUUAUCUGAAUUUACAGUUGCAGGAGCAGUUAGACAUGCUUGUGAGCGAGGGCUCGAACACCUCUGGCCCCCAUGAUCAUCUGUCUCAGA